rnacentral:rRNA from 1 species
UACGUAGGCAGCAAGCGUUUGUUCGGAGUUACUGGGCGUAAAGGGUGCGUAGGCGGUCCUGUAAGUAUGGUGUGAAAUCUCCCGGCUUAACUGGGAGGGUGCGCUAUAGACUGCGGGACUAGAGGGGUGGGAGAGGAAAGUGGGAAUUCCUGGUGUAGCGGUGAAAUGCGUAGAUAUCAGGAGGAACACCGGUGGGUGUAAAACUGGCUUUUC